rnacentral:rRNA from 1 species
GGUGACAGGUGGUGCAUGGUUGUCGUCAGCUCGUGUCGUGAGAUGUUGGGUUAAGUCCCGCAACGAGCGCAACCCCGCCGUUAGUUGCCAGCGGUUCGGCCGGGCACUCUAACGGGACUGCCCGCGAAAGCGGGAGGAAGGAGGGGACGACGUCUGGUCAGCAUGGCCCUUACGGCCUGGGCGACACACGUGCUACAAUGCCCACUACAAAGCGAGGCCACCCGGCAACGGGAGCUAAUCGCAAAAAGGUGGGCCCAGUUCGGAUUGGGGUCCGCAACCCGACCCCAUGAAGCCGGAAUCGCUAGUAAUCGCGGAUCAGCCAUGCCGCGGUGAAUACGUUCCCGGGCCUU